UACGUAGGGUGCAAGCGUUGUCCGGAAUUAUUGGGCGUAAAGAGCUCGUAGGCGGCUCGUCGCGUCGGCUGUGAAAACCUGGGGCUCAACCCCGGGCCUGCAGCCGAUACGGGCGAGCUAGAAUUCGGUAGGGGAGACUGGAAUUCCUGGUGUAGCGGUGAAAUGCGCAGAUAUCAGGAGGAACACCGGUGGCGAAGGCGGGUCUCUGGGCCGAUAUUGACGCUGAGGAGCGAAAGCGUGGGGAGCGAACAGG
rnacentral:rRNA from 2 species